rnacentral:tRNA from 1 species
GGAGGAUAUAGCUCAAGUGGUAGAGUGCAUGCUUAGCAUGCAUGAGGUCCUGGGUUCAAUCCCCAGUACCUCCA